GAUGAACGCUGGCGGCGUGCCUAAUACAUGCAAGUCGAGCGAACGGACGAGAAGCUUGCUUCUCUGAUGUUAGCGGCGGACGGGUGAGUAACACGUAGAUAACCUACCUAUAAGACUGGGAUAACUUCGGGAAACCGGAGCUAAUACCGGAUAAUAUUUUGAACCGCAUGGUUCAAAAGUGAAAGACGGUCUUGCUGUCACUUAUAGAUGGAUCCGCGCUGCAUUAGCUAGUUGGUAAGGUAACGGCUUACCAAGGCAACGAUGCAUAGCCGACCUGAGAGGGUGAUCGGCCACACUGGAACUGAGACACGGUCCAGACUCCUACGGGAGGCAGCAGUAGGGAAUCUUCCGCAAUGGGCGAAAGCCUGACGGAGCAACGCCGCGUGAGUGAUGAAGGUCUUCGGAUCGUAAAACUCUGUUAUUAGGGAAGAACAUAUGUGUAAGUAACUGUGCACGUCUUGACGGUACCUAAUCAGAAAGCCACGGCUAACUACGUG
rnacentral:rRNA from 1 species